rnacentral:rRNA from 1 species
UGCGUACCUUUUGUAUAAUGGGUCAGCGACUUAUAUUCUGUAGCAAGGUUAACCGAAUAGGGGAGCCGGAGGGAAACCGAGUCUUAACCGGGCGUUAAGUUGCAGGGUAUAGACCCGAAACCCGGUGAUCUAGCCAUGGGCAGGUUGAAGGUUGGGUAACACUAACUGGAGGACCGAACCGACUAAUGUUGAAAAAUUAGCGGAUGACCUGUGGCUGGGGGUGAAAGGCCAAUCAAACCGGGAGAUAGCUGGUUCUCCCCGAAAGCUAUUUAGGUAGCGCCUCGUGAAUUCAUCUCCGGGGGUAGAGCACUGUUUCGGCUAGGGGGCCAUCCCGGCUUACCAACCCGAUGCAAACUGCGAAUACCGGAGAAUGUUAUCACGGGAGACACACGGCGGGUGCUAACGUCCGUCGUGAAGAGGGAAACAACCCAGACCGCCAGCUAAGGUCCCAAAGUCAUGGUUAAGUGGGAAACGAUGUGGGAAGGCCCAGACAGCCAGGAUGUUGGCUUAGAAGCAGCCAUCAUUUAAAGAAAGCGUAAUAGCUCACUGGUCGAGUCGGCCUGCGCGGAAGAUGUAACGGGGCUAAACCAUGCACCGAAGCUGCGGCAGCGACACUGUGUGUUGUUGGGUAGGGGAGCGUUCUGUAAGCCUGUGAAGGUGUGUCGUGAGGCAUGCUGGAGGUAUCAGAAGUGCGAAUGCUGACAUAAGUAACGAUAAAGCGGGUGAAAAGCCCGCUCGCCGGAAGACCAAGGGUUCCUGUCCAACGUUAAUCGGGGCAGGGUGAGUCGACCCCUAAGGCGAGGCCGAAAGGCGUAGUCGAUGGGAAACGGGUUAAUAUUCCCGUACUUGGUGUUACUGCGAAGGGGGGACGGAGAAGGCUAUGUUGGCCGGGCGACGGUUGUCCCGGUUUAAGCGUGUAGGUGUGUGUUCCAGGUAAAUCCGGUUCACUUUAACACUGAGGCGUGACGACGAGGCACUACGGUGCUGAAGCAACAAAUGCCCUGCUUCCAGGAAAAGCCUCUAAGCAUCAGGUAACAUCAAAUCGUACCCCAAACCGACACAGGUGGUCAGGUAGAGAAUACCAAGGCGCUUGAGAGAACUCGGGUGAAGGAACUAGGCAAAAUGGUGCCGUAACUUCGGGAGAAGGCACGCUGACACGUAGGUGAAGUGAUUUACUCAUGGAGCUGAAGUCAGUCGAAGAUACCAGCUGGCUGCAACUGUUUAUUAAAAACACAGCACUGUGCAAACACGAAAGUGGACGUAUACGGUGUGACGCCUGCCCGGUGCCGGAAGGUUAAUUGAUGGGGUCAGCGCAAGCGAAGCUCCUGAUCGAAGCCCCGGUAAACGGCGGCCGUAACUAUAACGGUCCUAAGGUAGCGAAAUUCCUUGUCGGGUAAGUUCCGACCUGCACGAAUGGCGUAAUGAUGGCCAGGCUGUCUCCACCCGAGACUCAGUGAAAUUGAACUCGCUGUGAAGAUGCAGUGUACCCGCGGCAAGACGGAAAGACCCCGUGAACCUUUACUAUAGCUUGACACUGAACAUUGAGCCUUGAUGUGUAGGAUAGGUGGGAGGCUUUGAAGUGUGGACGCCAGUCUGCAUGGAGCCGACCUUGAAAUACCACCCUUUAAUGUUUGAUGUUCUAACGUGGACCCGUUACCCGGGUUGCGGACAGUGUCUGGUGGGUAGUUUGACUGGGGCGGUCUCCUCCUAAAGAGUAACGGAGGAGCACGAAGGUUGGCUAAUCCUGGUCGGACAUCAGGAGGUUAGUGCAAUGGCAUAAGCCAGCUUGACUGCGAGCGUGACGGCGCGAGCAGGUGCGAAAGCAGGUCAUAGUGAUCCGGUGGUUCUGAAUGGAAGGGCCAUCGCUCAACGGAUAAAAGGUACUCCGGGGAUAACAGGCUGAUACCGCCCAAGAGUUCAUAUCGACGGCGGUGUUUGGCACCUCGAUGUCGGCUCAUCACAUCCUGGGGCUGAAGUAGGUCCCAAGGGUAUGGCUGUUCGCCAUUUAAAGUGGUACGCGAGCUGGGUUUAGAACGUCGUGAGACAGUUCGGUCCCUAUCUGCCGUGGGCGCUGGAGAACUGAGGGGGGCUGCUCCUAGUACGAGAGGACCGGAGUGGACGCAUCACUGGUGUUCGGGUUGUCAUGCCAAUGGCACUGCCCGGUAGCUAAAUGCGGAAGAGAUAAGUGCUGAAAGCAUCUAAGCACGAAACUUGCCCCGAGAUGAGUUCU